rnacentral:rRNA from 1 species
CAGUCGCCGCGGUAAUACGAAGGGUGCAAGCGUUAAUCGGAAUUACUGGGCGUAAAGCGUGCGUAGGCGGUGAGUUAAGUCUGCUGUGAAAUCCCCGGGCUCAACCUGGGAAUUGCAGUGGAUACUGGGUCACUAGAGUGUGGUAGAGGAUAGUGGAAUUUCCGGUGUAGCAGUGAAAUGCGUAGAGAUCGGAAGGAACAUCUGUGGCGAAGGCGACUAUCUGGGCCAACACUGACACUGAGGCACGAAAGCGUGGGGAGCAAACAGGAUUAGAUACCCCUGUAGUCCCUGUCUCUUAUAC